rnacentral:ncRNA from 1 species
GUGUAGUUUGAAAGGAGAGCACGUUAGCACUCCCCAUAGACAAGGAUGGAAUCACAUAUAAAUUUAUUCACAUAAACAAAAACAAGUAAAAGUAUUAUAGUCGGUCAAGACUCACCGGUUUAAUACCUUACAAUAUUCCGUCUAAUCCAAUUACUCAUUUAU